AUGGCGGCCGUGACGUUGGACGAGUCUGGGGGCGGCCUGCAGACGCCCGGAGGGGGGCUGAGCCUCGUCUGCAAGGCCUCUGGAUUCACCCUCAGCAGUUACACCAUGUUUUGGGUGCGACAGGCGCCCGGCGAGGGGCUGGAAUCCAUCUCAGCUAUUAACAGUGCUGGUAGUAGCACAGCAUACGCGUCGGCGGUGCAGGGCCGUGCCACCAUCUCGAGGGACAACGAUCAGAGCACGGUGAGCCUGCAGCUGAACACACAGGGCUGA